GAUGAACGCUGACAGAAUGCUUAACACAUGCAAGUCCACUUGAAUUUGGGUUUUUACCUUAGGUUUGGGUGGCGGACGGGUGAGUAACGCGUAAAGAACUUGCCUCACAGCUAGGGACAACAUUUGGAAACGAAUGCUAAUACCUAAUAUUAUGAUAAUAGCGCAUCCUAUAAUUAUGAAAGCUAUAAGCGCUGUGAGAGAGCUUUGCGUCCCAUUAGCUAGUUGGAGAGGUAACGGCUCACCAAGGCGAUGAUGGGUAGCCGGCCUGAGAGGGUGAUCGGCCACAAGGGGACUGAGACACGGCCCUUACUCCUACGGGAGGCAGCAGUGGGGAAUAUUGGACAAUGGACCGAGAGUCUGAUCCAGCAAUUCUGUGUGCACGAUGAAGUUUUUCGGAAUGUAAAGUGCUUUCAGUUGGGAAGAAACAAAUGACGGUACCAACAGAAGAAGUGACGGCUAAAUACGUG
rnacentral:rRNA from 1 species